UACAGAGGUCUCAAGCGUUGUUCGGAUUCAUUGGGCGUAAAGGGUGCGUAGGCGGCGCGGUAAGUCGGGUGUGAAAUCUCGGAGCUUAACUCCGAAACUGCAUUCGAUACUGCCGUGCUUGAGGACUGGAGAGGAGGCUGGAAUUUACGGUGUAGCGGUGAAAUGCGUAGAUAUCGUAAGGAAGACCAGUGGCGAAGGCGGGUCUCUGGACAGUUCCUGACGCUGAGGCACGAAGGUCAGGGGAGCAAACAGG
rnacentral:rRNA from 1 species